CGCGCAGGCGGUCUUGUCCGUCUGGUGUGAAAGCUCGGGGCUCAACCCCGGAAGUGCACUUGAAACAGCAAGACUUGAAUACGGGAGAGGAGAGAGGAAUUCCUGGUGUAGAGGUGAAAUUCGUAGAUAUCAGGAGGAACACCGAUGGCGAAGGCAUCUCUCUGGACCGAUAUUGACGCUGAGGCGCGAAGGCGUGGGUAGCAAACAGGAUUAGAUACCCUGGUAGUCC
rnacentral:rRNA from 1 species